rnacentral:rRNA from 1 species
GAUGCUAAUACCGGAUAACAACAGAUGAUGCCUAUCAACUGUUUAAAAGAUGGUUCUGCUAUCACUCUUGGAUGGACCUGCGGUGCAUUAGCUAGUUGGUAGGGUAACGGCCUACCAAGGCGAUGAUGCAUAGCCGAGUUGAGAGACUGAUCGGCCACAUUGGGACUGAGACACGGCCCAAACUCCUACGGGAGGCAGCAGU